GGAUGAACGCUGGCGGCGUGCCUAAUACAUGCAAGUCGAGCGAACAGAUAAGGAGCUUGCUCCUUUGACGUUAGCGGCGGACGGGUGAGUUACACGUGGAUAACCUACCUAUAAGACUGGGAUAACUUCGGGAAACCGGAGCUAAUACCGGAUAACAUAUUGAACCGCAUGGUUCAAUAGUGAAAGGCGGCUUUGCUGUCACUUAUAGAUGGAUCCGCGCCGUAUUAGCUAGUUGGUAAGGUAACGGCUUACCAAGGCAACGAUACGUAGCCGACCUGAGAGGGUGAUCGGCCACACUGGAACUGAGACACGGUCCAGACUCCUACGGGAGGCAGCAGUAGGGAAUCUUCCGCAAUGGGCGAAAGCCUGACGGAGCAACGCCGCGUGAGUGAUGAAGGUCUUCGGAUCGUAAAACUCUGUUAUCAGGGAAGAACAAAUGUGUAAGUAACUGUGCACAUCUUGACGGUACCUGAUCAGAAAGCCACGGCUAACUACGUG
rnacentral:rRNA from 1 species